rnacentral:lncRNA from 1 species
GAAAAGCCAUGUCUUCCUAUCCUGACUGUCAGUAAAAGAUAUUCUUCUGUUGAUUCUGUUUCAGUUCUGGAUUCAGUGUCCUCAGGGGUCAGCAAACAUCAUUUCACGGACACAAGCAACCACAGCCAGUUAUGUUCACAUAUUCUGCCAACCUAAGCCAAAUGGAGAUGCCCAGAUUCCUAGAAGGGAACUGGAAGACCUUUCUCAGUGUAGUACCUGGCUGUGCAAAGAGAGGAGCAUGUUUCUUUGGAAGAUCUCCUAACUUGGCCAAAACCAUCUUGAAGCAACCCAUCUUGAAGCAACGUAUAUAAAGAAGACGACAUAUAUAGAUACACCAGCUCUGAACAAAGACCUGCUGAGGCUAUCAUCUCAUAUAGGAAGAGACCUAUCAGAGAUGCCUAAAUGUAAGUAUAAGAAAAGAGUAAUUUCCUCCGCAUAUUCUUUUAAUUAUU